AGCCCCCCGGCCCGGCAGCGUCUCUGGCCGCUUGAGGUGGGUGGGAAUGAAACGUAACCGCCUCCCUGCCAAACCCGGGCUGCGGCUCCGUCUGCGUGGCACAAGCCCCGGCCUGGCGGGCUGGUCUCCUCCCCCCAUGUCGGAGCCGGCCAGGGCUGCGCCGAGCGCACAGUGACCCAUCCGUGCCGGUGACACAAGUGGAAGCUGCUCCCCCGCCCGCCCGCUCGCUGCGGUGUUGUAACUUGCGGCCACAAUAUUGGAAGUAUCGGGAAGCUGGGAUUGCGCGGACGUCACGCUGUGUUACAGUGUGGGGAAUAGGCUGGCGGGGCUGCGUCAAUGGCUCGGGGGUCCCAAAAUGUGUCUUGAGAAAGCUGCCUUUACAUCACAAGAUAUGCCCUAUUGCUUUGGAUAAAGCAGCGUUGUGCCACCUGUAGUUUAACUAGUAGCCAACAUCUCUCCCACCUCCCCGCAAUUCUCUACCAUAGGAAUAUGACUCAUCAUUGCAUAAACAUAACUAGUGGCCAGGCGAACAUGUUUAUUCAGACGUGAUUAGGGAUUUACAUGUGGCCUAUGAUGAAGCUAGAACCAGGAUGAAAAUCUACUAAAAAAUAUAAGACUAAAGAAUGUUUUUUUCCUCUUUCUGUUUUUUGAGGAGGACACCAUGAUGAGCCUAUUGUGCCCUACUUGUCCUAAGGAUCAACUAUAUCUUCCUCUAAUGAGAUGAUUCACUGACCAUUCAAUUAGGGGAAAAAAUCUGCUUUACUGUAAACAUACUUAUAUUUUUCUUUCUAUUAAAAUUGUUUUUUGUUUAAA